AGAGUUAAAUAGUACGUGAAAUUGUUGAAAGGGAAACGAUUGAAGCCAGUCGUACCGGCGGGUAAUCAGCCUUUUGGGUGUGAUUAUGUGGGGCGUGAGGAGCUAAUCGCCUUCAUCUUUGCAUAUUCGUGCACUUUGGGUGUACUUGCUCGUGUGGUAGGUUAACAUCAAUUUUGAUUAUCAUAAAAUGAUUGAAGGAAUGUAGCUUCGAUCUCGUAUUGAAGUGUUAUAGCCUUUGGUAGAUGUGAUGAUCGGGAUUGAGGAUUGCAACGGAUACCCUUCGGGGCUACCUGUCUGAUCUCUGAAAGUUGCUCUGGUGCUGAAAGCUUGCUUAUGGUAUCAAAGUUGACGUUCAAUAGGUUAGAACGGGAUAAAUUCGUUAAGGAUGUUGACGUAAUGGCUUUAAACGACC
rnacentral:rRNA from 1 species